rnacentral:rRNA from 1 species
GAGUUUGAUCAUGGCUCAGAAUCAACGCUGGCGGCGCGCCUAACACAUGCAAGUCGAACGGGAAAGGGGAGCAAUCCCUGAGUAUAGUGGCGUACGGGUGAGUAACACGUGGGUAAUCUACCUUUUAGUGUGGAAUAACGCUGGGAAACCGGGGCUAAUACCGCAUAAUCUCGAGAGAGGAAAGUCGCAAGACGCUGAAAGAGGAGCCCGCGGCCGAUUAGCUAGUUGGCGGGGUAAGAGCCCACCAAGGCAGAGAUCGGUAGCCGGCCUGAGAGGGCACACGGCCACACUGGCACUGAAACACGGGCCAGACUCCUACGGGAGGCAGCAGUGGGGAAUCUUGCACAAUGGGGGAAACCCUGAUGCAGCGACGCCGCGUGAGCGAUGAAGCCCUUCGGGGUGUAAAGCUCUUUCGGCAGGGAAGACGAUGACGGUACCUGCAGAAGCAGCUGCGGCUAACUACGUGCCAGCAGCCGCGGUAAUACGUAGGCAGCGAGCGUUGUUCGGAGUUACUGGGCGUAAAGGGUGUGUAGGCGGUUGUUUAAGUUUGGUGUGAAAUCUCCCGGCUCAACCGGGAGGGUGCGCCGAAUACUGAGCGACUAGAGUGCGGGAGAGGAGAGUGGAAUUCCUGGUGUAGCGGUGAAAUGCGUAGAUAUCAGGAGGAACACCGGCGGUGUAGACGGCUCUCUGGACCGCGACUGACGCUGAGACACGAAAGCGUGGGUAGCAAACAGGAUUAGAUACCCUGGUAGUCCACGCCCUAAACGAUGCAUAUUUGGUGUGGGCAGUUCAUUCUGUCCGUGCCGGAGCUAACGCGUUAAAUAUGCCGCCUGGGGAGUACAGUCGCAAGGCUGAAACUCAAAGGAAUUGACGGGGGCCCGCACAAGCGGUGGAGCAUGUGGUUCAAUUCGACGCAACGCGAAGAACCUUACCUGGGCUCGAAAUGCAGGAGACCGGGGUGGAAACAUCCCUUCCCCUUAAAAGGCUGCUGUAUAGGCGCUGCAUGGCUGUCGUCAGCUCGUGUCGUGAGAUGUUGGGUUAAGUCCCGCAACGAGCGCAACCCUCAUCCCUAGUUGCCAUCGGGUCAAGCCGGGCACUCUAGUGAAACCGCCUCGGAUAACGGGGAGGAAGGUGGGGAUGACGUCAAGUCCUCAUGGCCUUUAUGUCCAGGGCUACACACGUGCUACAAUGGUUGGUACAAACCGUCGCAAACCCGCGAGGGGGAGCUAAUCGGAAAAAGCCAAUCCCAGUCCGGAUUGGAGUCUGCAACUCGACUCCAUGAAGCUGGAAUCGCUAGUAAUCGCAGAUCAGCACGCUGCGGUGAAUACGUUCCCGGGCCUUGUACACACCGCCCGUCACAUCACGAAAGUGGGCUGUACUAGAAGCCAGUGCGCUGACCCGCAAGGGAGGCAGCCGUCCAAGGUAUAACUCAUGAUUGGGGUGAAGUCGUAACAAGGUAACCGU